rnacentral:rRNA from 1 species
UACAGAGGGUGCAAGCGUUGCUCGGAAUCAUUGGGCGUAAAGGGUAGGUAGGUGGUCUCAUUUGUCUGAGGUGAAAGCCUUGAGCUUAACUCAAGAAGUGCCUCGGAAACGGUGAGACUCAAGUACUGGAGAGGGUCGUGGAAUUCCCGGUGUAGCGGUGAAAUGCGUAGAGAUCGGGAGGAACACCAGCGGCGAAGGCGGCGACCUGGACAGUUACUGACACUCAACUACGAAAGCGUGGGGAGCAAACAGG